rnacentral:rRNA from 1 species
GAUGAACGCUGGCGGCGUGCCUAAUACAUGCAAGUCGAGCGAACAGACGAGGAGCUUGCUCCUCUGACGUUAGCGGCGGACGGGUGAGUAACACGUGGAUAACCUACCUAUAAGACUGGGAUAACUUCGGGAAACCGGAGCUAAUACCGGAUGAUAUAUUGAACCGCAUGGUUCAAUAGUGAAAGACGGUUUUGCUGUCACUUAUAGAUGGAUCCGCGCCGCAUUAGCUAGUUGGUAAGGUAACGGCUUACCAAGGCAACGAUGCGUAGCCGACCUGAGAGGGUGAUCGCCCACACUGGAACUGAGACACGGUCCAGACUCCUACGGGAGGCAGCAGUAGGGAAUCGUCCGCAAUGGGCGAAAGCCUGACGGAGCAACGCCGCGUGAGUGAUGAAGGUCUUCGGAUCGUAAAACUCUGUUAUUAGGGAAGAACAAAUGUGUAAGUAACUAUGCACGUCUUGACGGUACCUAAUCAGAAAGCCACGGCUAACUACGUG